UAAUUUACUGCAUUUUGAAAUUACAGUAAUGCAUGUGGCCUGGUUGCCCUUGCCUGUCAAGAGCUCGUUGAUGCAAGUGAAGCAAAUAACAAAGAAGGGUGCCUUGUAGCUCUUGAAAAUGUCAACCGUGAAUAUCUUGUCGCCAAGGAGAAUUUGAAUCGCAUUGUUGGGAUGGAACGUGAAAUUUAUGACAUGAGGCUGUGCCGAAAGCAACCUGAGUAGAGAGAGUUCUUAUUAUAUAAGAAUCAUCGACUCCAAAAAAUCGUGAUGUUUUCAAUCAUGUUGGCCAUGUAAUAAGUUUAUUACUUCUAUGUUAUAGACUUAUUUAUAACUUGUUUUAGGACAAGGUUUUGGUAUUUGGAACUUUUGAAUAAGUUCACUAUAAAGUGAACAUUAUGUGUUUAAGACUUGAUUUUCUAUCCA